GACGAACGCUGGCGGCGUGCUUAACACAUGCAAGUCGAACGAUGAACCGGUUUCGGCCGGGGAUUAGUGGCAAACGGGUGAGUAACACGUGGGCAAUCUGCCCUGCACUCUGGGAUAAGCCCGGGAAACUGGGUCUAAUACCGGAUACGACACUCCGAGGCAUCUUGGGGUGUGGAAAGUUCCGGCGGUGCAGGAUGAGCCCGCGGCCUAUCAGCUUGUUGGUGGGGUAAUGGCCUACCAAGGCGACGACGGGUAGCCGGCCUGAGAGGGUGACCGGCCACACUGGGACUGAGACACGGCCCAGACUCCUACGGGAGGCAGCAGUGGGGAAUAUUGCACAAUGGGCGAAAGCCUGAUGCAGCGACGCCGCGUGAGGGAUGACGGCCUUCGGGUUGUAAACCUCUUUCAGCAGGGAAGAAGCGAAAGUGACGGUACCUGCAGAAGAAGCACCGGCUAACUACGUG
rnacentral:rRNA from 1 species